CCCUUAGAUGUCUUGGGCCGCACGCGCGCUACACUGAGUGUCUGAGAUACGAGUCUGCCUGGUCCGGCAAGGUCUAGGUAAUCGCUAAAAGACACAUCAUGCUUGGGAUAGAUUAUUGCAAAUAUUAAUCUUGAACGAGGAAUUCCUAGUAAGCGCAAGUCAACAGCUUGCGUUGAUUACGUCCCUGCCCUUUGUACACACCGCCCGUCGCUACUACUGAUUGGAUGUUUAAGCGAGGUUCUCGAACUGCUAGCGACUUAGCUUCGGUGAGGUCGCAGUGUGGGAAGUGAACCUAGCUUUGGUGUCUAGAGGAAGUAAAAGUCGUAACA
rnacentral:rRNA from 1 species